GACGUAGGGUGCAAGCGUUGUUCGGAAUUACUGGGCGUAAAGCGCGUGUAGGCGGGCGAAUAAGUCAGGGGUGAAAUGCCAAGGCUCAACCUUGGAACUGCCUUUGAUACUGUUCGUCUUGAGUCCGGGAGAGGUGAGUGGAACUGCGAGUGUAGAGGUGAAAUUCGUAGAUAUUCGCAAGAACACCAGUGGCGAAGGCGGCUCACUGGCCCGGAACUGACGCUGAGACGCGAAAGCGUGGGGAGCAAACAGG
rnacentral:rRNA from 1 species